rnacentral:rRNA from 1 species
CUUGUCUCAAAGAUUAAGCCAUGCAUGUCUAAGUAUAAGCAACUAUACUGUGAAACUGCGAAUGGCUCAUUAAAUCAGUUAUCGUUUAUUUGAUAGUGCCCUUUACUACUUGGAUAACCGUGGUAAUUCUAGAGCUAAUACAUGCAUAAAGCCCCGACAGGGGUGUAUUUAUUAGAUAAAAAACCAAUGCCCUCCGGGGCUGCUUGGUGAAUCAUAAUAACGCAACGAAUCGCAUGGCCUUGCGCCGGCGAUGGUUCAUUCAAAUUUCUGCCCUAUCAACUUUCGAUUGUAGUUUAGUGGACUACAAUGGUUUCAACGGGUAACGGGGAAUUAGGGUUCGACUCCGGAGAGGGAGCCUGAGAAACGGCUACCACAUCCAAGGAAGGCAGCAGGCGCGCAAAUUACCCAAUCCCGACACGGGGAGGUAGUGACAAUAAAUACUGAUACAGGGCUCUUUUGGGUCUUGUAAUUGGAAUGAGUACAAUUUAAAUCCCUUAACGAGGAACAAUUGGAGGGCAAGUCUGG